AGAAAAACAAGAGUGGUUGUAAGUAACUGAAAAGCAAAAGGGAAAAAUAUAUGUGUGAGAAAAAGUCAGGGUCGUGUCUACCCUCAUUCUUGAAGGAAACACUCAGUUCCCCAGAACAUUAUACAGUCCACGAGAACGUCGUACCAUUUGCUGGUCCUUCGAGCCGGAUCACAGUGACCCAUGGAUUUGGAGAUACGGAAGAAGCAGUGAUCAAGGUGAUCGCAGUUAUCGCGGCUAGCCAUAUCACCUAUUGAGGUGACGGACGACUUGGAGCCGCCGGCCACGGCGAGCCGGAGGCCAGGAUCCACGCCUCCCUUGUAUGGUCAAGAGGAGGAUGGUCGUGUGCGUCGAGAGAUGGCCAACAAGAAGCGGGCCAUCUCCAGGUCAGUGUUCGAUCUCAGCGGGCACCUCCUAGCGACAAGGAUGAGAUCAAGGACAUUGUUAUGAAUGAAAGUUGUGGAGAUCGAAAAGUUGGUCGAUCAACUCGAGGCCAUCACCAAAGCCCACCUGAGGACAAACGUUGAUGAAGACGAGAAUGUGCGCAUAAAGGAAUAUCUUCAUGAACAGCAGAAGAGGGUGAUGGAGGUCAAAGCCGAAGUGUUGGAUCACCUGGAACGCCGAGAAGACAAGGAGUCAACAGCUUUUGGACCAGACCAAGAGAAGCUAAGGAUCUUCCAAGAGGCGGAAUAGCAGAACACGCCCCAUGAUCCGAUCCAUUACCCGGAUGCGAGUUUAGAUGAGGCAAGAGAAGUUGGGUCACACGUCGGGGAAGGGCCCAGGAAUUGGGCCCAUACCAUUCAAUUAAUCCCCACCUUGAUAAUCAAGGCACUCCAGAAGGUUCAGAGAGAGGUGCAGCCCCAACUAUACAACCGUCGUGGAUGGUAUCAGCCUUGCUCCCAACUACAUCUUCAAACCUGGGGGCCCCGUCAUCCAUCGAAGACAUCUACUUGCGGUCAGUGAAAUGAUUGGAGGUGGAGAUUCGCUUUGGGCCCAUCUCGUACGUACAAUUGAAAGGAAGCUGGAACAAGAUACUUAUUUUGCAAGGGAUACAUUUGCCGACCGGAUCAUUGAUAAGGACAAAUUAAUGGGGUGAAGCAGGUGGCUUCUAGAGCGCGUAAAGAAACUUUGUCACUUCUCAGAUGGAACUGGUCUUGGAUUGUCGGUCAAAGAAGUCGUCCAAUCAAAGCCAUGGAGAAGCAAUUCCAAAGCAACUACACUAUCCAUGAACACUCAUGCAAGAAUGGAGCAAGUCCUAACCAAGAAUCUCUGCUUUGGAUGUUUGAGACCGGGUCACCUACUCACGAGGUGCAGAUCUAAAGGCCAAUGUGGGAUUGAAGGUUGCCAAAGACAGCACCAUGAACUGGUGAUUAACCCGUGAGGAUUCACAACCCCAUAACAAUGGCAUCCGCCAAUAGCUCUAAUACAGGAUGGAACGUCAUCCUAGGUAUGAUACCAAUAACUUGUUACAGACCAAAUGGGAACAUCACGGUCAAUGCACUAAUCGAUGAGGGGUCAGACACAACAUUUGCUACGGACUCCAUACUCAAGAAGAUCAGGUUUAACAAGGGAUCAGAGACGCCACUGACAGUGAAUGGUGCAUCAGGGUCCAUGGAGUUUGGUUCCAAGAUCGUCUCCUUGCACAUGAGUGGGUUGGAGGGCAACAAGUUUCGAGCUAGAGUAAGGCCUCAUCCCAAUAUCUGUCAUGCCCUCGGUGGAACGUCAUGGGAGCAAAUCAAGGGUCGUUGGAAACAUCUGAAACUAUCAUCUCAUGAGGGGAAAGGGGAGAUUCUCAUUGGAUUAGAUAAUUGUGGCCGUGAUUCUUAAGAGCAACGGUUUGACUCUCAGUAAGACAAAUAGAACCUCCUGGGGGAAUCUUUUUAACCAAGUCGGCAAUCAUGUUUGGAUCUUCCAUGUCUGAUUUUUCUGAUAUUCUGACGAAUUAGAAACAGGCACGACUGGUUAGUGAUGUU